CGUCCCUUCCUUAUCUCUCCCACUCUCUUUUUCCUAUUUUCUUUUUUCUUCUAAAAAAACCCUUCUCUCCUCUCUCACAUUCCUCUUUUUUCUCUUUUUAAAAUAUAUGUUUUUGGGGGUUUUUGUACUCUCUUUGUUUCCAUUCUUAUUUUCUCUUUGGCCCUAAACACUGUGGCAAUACACAUGCAAUUUAUGUUCUUUUUCUUUUUUUAAAUAUAAUUCCUCUAUUAUUUAUUUUUUUAUUGGUAUUUGAUGGUUUGGUGUUGUAGAUUGAAAAUUUGAAGAAGAUCGUGAUUCUUCAUGGUGGAAGAACGAGAAUUAGGCUCUUUGAAAGUGGUGGAGAAACUUCAUUAGAGUUUCAAUGUCGCUCCUCUGCUCCUAAUUGGCUGAAUAUAGUUCGUUGACCUCUAUUAUUUCUAUGGGAGAAAGAAUGCUAUCAGCACCAUCGACUAGUGGGUAUGCACGCACAAGCAUCCAACCAAGGGGCAGGGGCCACUUUUCACAUCACCCUAUGUCUAGGCAUAGAGGACGCAACCGGAGUGAUCACAACAAAUGCCGCUGGUUUGAAGAACAAAUCACUUACUACCUCAAAUGGUCUUAUGCUUUGAACAGUUGAGAAGAUGGUACCCCAAGUAGAGGCAGGAACCUGCACCGAGUAACUGGGGGACUGCAAUCUCCAAUUCAGUUUACCUCAAUGCGUGAAAGAAUGUAAAAAGAAGCACAAGGACGGCGAGGGUACCUGUAACACUGUGAUUUAUCCCCAAACUCAAUGCCAAUGUCUUUACAAUUGUUGACAUCAUCUCACCCUGGCUCGAAAGGGAAAAUUAAAAGAGAUUAUGUCACCAUAAUAAUGAAUAAAUGGGUUUUGAAGUGCUCA